AUGCUCCAGAUUCCUUACCCAUCAGACAUAAACAUUGAUCUGAGUGGUGAAAAAAGGAGGAAAAGUAAAAUUAAAACUUGACUGAAAGUCUUUUGUGACACCCAAGCUAGUUUCAAAAGAAG
rnacentral:snoRNA from 1 species